GUAAGCUUUUGGUUUUGUAACGAUGCAUGCUGAGAUUCAGGAAGCAAGUUGAGGGAGUGAGUGUUUUAAUAAAUAAACACAACAUAAUACAAAAUAAGAAACACAAACAAUGCACAGACAUGACACAGCAACAGAAACAAUAAUGCCUGGGGAAGGAACCAAAGGGAGUAGCAGGUAGCCUAGUGGUUAGAGUGUUGGACUGGGUAACUGAAAGGUUGCAAGAUCGAAUCCCCGAGCUGACAAGGUAAAAAUCUGUCGUUCAGCCCCUGAACAAGUCAGUUAACCCACUGUUCCUAGGCUGUCAUUGAAAAUAAGAAUUUGUACUCACUUGACCUGUCGCCGGCUGGGGUACUGGAGCCUGGAGAUCUGGCUGAGGCAUGAGAGCCAGACGAACCAGCGGAGGCAGGGCAUGAGAGCCUGUAGCGGCUCCUGGACCCGAUGUCAUUCCCACCAAAAAAACUAAAAACACUACAAAAUAAGAAGCACAGACAUGACAUAGAAAUAAUAACACCUGGGGAAGGAACCAAAAGGAGUGACAUAAAAAGGGAAGGUAAUCAGGGAAGUGAUGGAGUCCAGGUGAGUCUGAUGACGUGCAGGUGCGCGUAAUGAUGGUGACUGGUGUGUCCCAUAACGAGCAGCCUAGAGGCUGGAGAGGGAGCACACGUGACAGGUUUUAUUCAUUUAUUGCCACCGGGACCCACUGGUGUAACUGCUAAACUACUUGCUGACUGUACUCCGUACUGCAUGAUUGUAGUGGAUUUACUAACGUUUUAGUUUUAGUUGCUGUGUUUAUUAUGGUGUUAGCUAACAUGGUGACAAUGAUAUAGGCUGUAUGUAGCGGUUAGGAUUUGAAGGUUUGGCUUGGAAAGUUUUUUUUGCUUGGUCACAGGCAGCUGAUGUGUUGUGAACUGAAGUCCACAAGCGAAGGGAACAGAUAAGAGGAAUUAUAAGAUCAAAGGGAUUAUGCUGUUUGUAUGUGGUUGGUAUGAAAGUGAACUGUGCUUGUGUGUAAGCAGGGGUGUAUUCAUUCUGCCGAUUCUGUUGAAAAACGUUUAUUGACUGGAAGCAAGCUGAACGAAAAGAGAAUAAACAUACCUGAACUCUUGUUUGCAACUGUUGGACUAAUGAUUACACCCUAGAUCAGCUAGAUGCAGGCAAGAGUGUGCAAGGCAUUAUUAUAUCAACCUAUACACCUAUGUUGUAAACGUUCAUUUA
rnacentral:lncRNA from 13 species